rnacentral:tRNA from 1 species
AUCGCGGUAGCUCAAUGGUCAGAGCGUUUCAUUCAUAACGUAAAAGUAUAGGUUCGAUUCCUGUCCGCGAUA